GUUUCUCACCACUGCGUGUCUCAUCAUAUGGGUAAUUGGCCACCACGUCUCCUCCAUGCAAAUUGGCUGAUAGGACAAAUGGAAUGUCCAUAAUCCAGUGAAUGACAGCCUUAGUUUCUGGUGCCAGCUGUAACACACAGGAGAUGGUUGUUGGCUCCUCCCUCUCUUUCAUUCAUGUAGACGAUGCGAUCAAGAUCUGGAAAGUUCCGGUUCAGAUCAAUUCCCUGAGCAUUGCUGCGGCCCACAAACCAGUCCUUCAUCUCACCAGGCUGCACAUAAAUAUUAGAAUAAUGAUACCAUUAGCAGAAUUACCACAAUCUUAAAAAAAAAAAAAAAGGCCCAUUUGGAACACAGGACACCAAAAACCAAAGAUACACCUGCAUUCUGUUUAUAUUCUUCUUCUUGUGUAAGGUGUGUGUGUGUUUACCUGUGAGGCUGCUUUCUCGAAGCCAUCAGGAUUCAUGGA